AACUCAUGGCGGGUUCACGCCCUUGGUCCACGCCUUCUCGGAUUGUGCACACCUGGGCCUCAUCAGACCAGCUGGUAUAUCAGAAGGAGGAGAUCAGUUGUUCAACGCUGGAUUGUUGUGAAGGCUUCUAUUCCCCGGACCCGUUCCCGUGUUUCCCCGUGUGGUGUGUGGAAGGAGUGACAGGUUGCUAGUGGAGAGGAGAGAGGCUGUUUGGAGCACGAGUGUGGUUUCCCCGUUUUCCCUGGAGCCCUGGACCCCUGCCCCUCACGUCUUGUAUAUAGCACUAACCCCGCACUGUCUAUACAUACACUCGGUGAAGAUUUGUAAUAAACUAUCUCUGUGUGAACGCUACCCAGGAGUCCUGCGAGUGGAUCCUCUAAGCAA